rnacentral:rRNA from 1 species
GAAGGCUAAAUACUGGUGGGAGACCGAUAGUGAACAAGUACCGUGAGGGAAAGUUGACAAGCACUUUGAAAAGAGGGUGAAAAGAACCUGAAACCGUUACGGGGGAAGCGGAUUGCGUUGUAUUGAAAAGGGGCGUACUGUUCAGCAUAAAUUCUAUUUGUGUGUAUUCAGUGCGUUUCUAACCCGUCGUGGGCUUCGCACGGUCGAUUUUGGGCUGUGUGGGGCUGAGGUAUCCCCAUUUUUUUGGGUUGAUGACGAUGGGGCGCCAACGCGAUACGACCCGUCUUGAAACACGGACCAAGGAGUCCAGCAUGGCUGCGAGUCAAAGGGUGGUAAAACCUGAGGGCGCAGUGAAAGCAAUUGUUGCAAAACGUUGCAGUUUGAGGCGGCCUAGGAUCGUUGAUCCUAGGUCCGACCUAGAGCAGUUAUGCUGGUACCCGAAAGAUGGUGAACUAUGCUUGAGUAGGGUGAAGCCAGAGGAAACUCUGGUGGAAGCUCGUAGCGAUGCUGACGUGCAAAUCGCUCGUCUAACUCGGGUAUAGGGGCGGAAGACUAAUCGAACCAUCUAGUAGCUGGUUUCCUCCGAAGUUUCUCUCAGGAUAGCAGGCCGAC